rnacentral:lncRNA from 1 species
UAGAGUGGGGCGCUCAUAUUCGCCGUGGACACAAUUUCGCCGUUAUAUGAUUUUGAGGUGUAAAAACUUCAAAGGAUGGCUGAAAUGGCAGAAAUAUGCCGAUAAAUUGUAUUUUUAUAACAAAUAUGAUUAUUUUUGAAAAUGAGACCAAAUUUCGGCACUUACCGCAAAGGACAGAAAAACGAAUUAUGAUUUUCAGCCAAUUUCCUGAACGAAAAAAAAAAGAUUUCAAAGAAGUAUUUCUUAGUAAUUCUUUGACUGAUUGCCC